GAUCUACCUAAUGCUAUUAAAUCUUGCAUCAUGCAUGGCGCCAGCUUUACUAUCGCUUGGUAUUUCUCCUUGGAAUGGAUCCUUCCCUUUCCAUAGAGAUCAUUGCUUUUUGGUUGUUGGUUGAAGGAAAUGGUGAAGUUGAUUUCCUUCGGCACAUCAAUUCUUUUCACGGUGAUCAUUUUCUUGCCCUUGUUGGUAUGGGUAAGCAAUUUAUUGAUGCCAUGCAUGGCAACCCUGUUGAUUUGAAAUCCAGAUCUGCCAGAGUUCCACAGUCAAGUUAUGUUGGGAAUUUGUUUCUUCCUCAAUAAUGUCUGCUAUAAGGUCUUAAAUGAUCUUAGGCGAAAGGCUGAGCAGGGGGUGACAAUUCAUGAUAUGGAAGAGUCACUCGAAUCAAAUUAUCAUGGUCUUCGUGAACACUCGAAGGAUCAACCUCUUAUAAGAAUUGUAAGGACAAAAGUAGCAUAUUUUGAAACUUAGUCUUUUGUAAUUUUAUGAAUUUAUUGCACUUAAAUUGCGUGACACUUAUAUGGAUGGCACCAAUAAUUUUCCUCAUUUACUUGUUGUGAUCAACUUCCAUAAUUCUAUAUUUUCUCUAUUCUAUAUAGAGCUACAAUCAAUAUCAAGGAGAAUCUUUAAUUUGUAGAAAUAUGACUAGUGCUAUUGAAUGCCUUGAAGAUAUGGAAGCAUCUCCAAAAUCAAAUUAUCAUGUUCUUUAUCAAUACAUGAAGGAUCGGCCACACAUAAGCACCAGCUAUCAUCAGUAUCAAGAAGAUUGUUCAAUUUCUAGAAGUAUGCUUGGUGAAAUUAAAUCCCUUGAAGAUAUGAAAGAAUCUCCAAAUUCAAAUUAUCAUGUUCUUCAUCGACACAUGAAGAAUCAGCCUCAUAUAAGCACUGUAAGCAGAAAAAGUAGCAUAUACUUAAACUUAUUUUUGUGACUUAUCACAAAUAUCAAGGAGACUGUUCAAUUUCUAGAACAAGUAUGCCUAGGGAUAUUAAUUGCAUUGAAGAUAUGGUGAAAGCAGGGGAUGAAGCUCAAUCAGACUUAGGUAACAUGAUUUCUCAGCAACAAAAAGACACUGGAUGGAGCAUAUCUUCAAGAUCAACUAUUUUUCCUACCGCUAUUGAAAACCACCAAGAUAUGGUAAAAAUGAGAUAUGGAGCCCAAUCAAUGAAUGCCUUCUCAAUAGAUCAAGAUAUUUAUAGCCCUCAACAACAAAAACCCAUUGGAGUGAACAUAUCUUAUAGACCAGAUAUUCAUGGUUUGGAAUCAUUAUUCAACAGAUGUACGAUUUCUUCCCAGUUUCCACUGAAGCGGGAUAAUACAUUUCCCCAAAGUUCUACAAUGAACAUUAAUCCUUAUGUCCAUUCACCUAUCCCUCAACAUCACAUAACAUUAUUUGUUACUUUCUCUAAUGGAUAUCCAUUGACUAAAAAGGAAGUAUAUAACUUCUUCAUGAGGUGCAGUAGUUCUUAUCUCUCGUUCCUUCUAUAUUGCAGCAAUUUCGGUGAUGUGGAAAGCCUAAGCAUAGAGGAGUCUGUUGAACUCAGGCCACCACAGUAUGCACUAGUCACAUUUGGCACUCUGGAGACUG